rnacentral:rRNA from 1 species
AUACAUCCAUCGCAGAAAAAUAGCAAUCCACACUAUACAUCCUAUCGCUCUCCUCCCCCUCCCCCCUUCCUUCUGUCCCCGAGGCCCAAAGCUCGGGCCGUCUUCCUCCUCCUCCUCAUCUUCUUCUACAGGAGCGGCGGAUCUACAGUCUCCAGAGCUCCCGGGAAGGAAGGAAAAUAUCCGUGAAAGAAAGAGACCCAUGACUCCAUGAGCCAAAGCGUGACGACUGCACGCCUCCGCUCACCUAACCAAACCCCUCCUUAAACAAAGCCUCCUCGUCUCACAUCACACCCGCUUGCUCCUUAUCACCUCCCACCUCACUCCCACUCCUCCCCUCUCUCCCCCCUCCUGCCGCCAUGGCCCAAGCUUGGGCCUUCCUCCUCCCGGUCCUCGUCCUCGGCUCCUACGUAACCAGCCUCUUCCUCCCCACCUAUAUAACCGGCCCCCUCUGCGGCGGCGAUGGAGGAGGCAGAUCCUUGUUCCUCUGCGCGCAGGCUCCCAAGGACCAGGACCCGUCUCCUGCCAGCACCAUGUACAAGACCGCCUUCCACUUCCAGCCCGCCAAGAACUGGAUGAACGAUCCAUCUGGUAUGAAUAUCUCAGGACCAAUGUACUUCAAUGGCAUCUACCAUGAAUUCUACCAGUAUAACCUCAACGGCCCCAUUUUUGGUGACAUAGUUUGGGGCCAUUCGGUUUCAACAGACCUUGUCAACUGGAUCGGGCUUGAACCCGCGUUAGUGCGGGACACCCCUAGUGACAUAGACGGCUGCUGGACCGGCUCAGUCACCAUUCUGCCUGGUGGUAAACCGAUCAUCAUAUACACUGGUGGUGACAUAGAUCAAAAUCAGGCACAAAACAUCGCGUUUCCGAAAAACCGGUCUGACCCAUACCUGAGGGAAUGGAUCAAAGCAGACAAUAACCCGGUGCUCCGACCGGACGAACCAGGGAUGAACUCGAUCGAGUUCAGGGAUCCGACAACCGGUUGGAUCGGACCGGAUGGACUGUGGAGGAUGGCAGUUGGUGGUGAGCUGAACGGCUACAGUGCUGCGCUUUUGUACAAGAGUGAAGACUUUCUGAAUUGGACAAAAGUUGAUCACCCACUGUAUUCACAUAAUGGAUCCAAUAUGUGGGAGUGUCCGGAUUUCUUUGCGGUAUUGCCGGGCAAUAACGCUGGACUGGACCUGUCCGCAGCGAUCCCACAAGGCGCCAAGCAUGCCCUCAAAAUGAGCGUGGAUUCAGUUGACAAGUACAUGAUCGGGGUGUAUGAUCUCCAUCGUGAUGCCUUUGUGCCAGAUAAUGUCGUAGAUGACCGUCGGCUGUGGCUGAGAAUAGAUUACGGCACUUUCUAUGCUUCAAAAUCAUUCUUUGACUCGAACAAGAACAGGAGGAUCAUAUGGGGUUGGUCUAGGGAGACAGAUAGUCCUUCAGAUGAUCUUGCAAAAGGUUGGGCAGGACUCCAUACAAUCCCCAGGACAAUUUGGUUAGCCGGCGAUGGCAAGCAGUUGUUACAAUGGCCAGUUGAGGAGAUUGAGUCCCUUCGAACAAAUGAAAUCAACCAUCAAGGACUAGAGCUCAACAAGGGAGAUCUAUUUGAGAUCAAGGAAGUUGACGCUUUUCAGGCUGAUGUAGAGAUAGGUUUUGAGCUGGCGUCCAUCGAUGACGCCGAUCCUUUUGAUCCUUCCUGGCUUUUGGACCCUGAGAAGCAUUGUGGGGAAGCGGGUGCAUCAGUUCCUGGUGGUAUAGGUCCAUUUGGACUUGUCAUUCUGGCCUCCGACAACAUGGACGAGCACACUGAGGUGUAUUUCAGAGUCUACAAGUCACAGGAAAAGUACAUGGUACUCAUGUGCUCUGAUCUAAGAAGGUCUUCCCUGAGACCAGAUCUGGAGAAACCAGCCUAUGGAGGCUUCUUUGAAUUUGAUCUUGAAAAGGAAAGGAAGAUAUCACUCAGAACUCUGAUUGACCGGUCGGCGGUGGAGAGCUUCGGUGGCGGUGGCAGGGUUUGCAUCACAUCCAGAGUUUAUCCGGCGGUGCUGGCCGACGUCGGCAGUGCCCACAUUUACGCUUUCAACAAUGGAAGUGCCACGGUCAGGGUGCCACAGCUCAGCGCAUGGACCAUGAGGAAGGCACAAGUGAAUGUGGAGAAGGGUUGGAGUGCUAUUUAAAACAGAGGAGCAAUUUGAUUUUCUCGAUUCUUUUACUAUCAUUCAUCAGCAUUGCCUGGCAGAAAUAAGGACAUUCAGCAGGAAAGAAAAUAGCCUAUCAUUUCUUUGAUCUCUAGUAUUCAUAUAUUGUAGUUACUACUUAGUAAGCCCUUCCCAUCUCAGUUACUUGUAUCAAUUUUUAUGGAAACGCACACUAGUGAUGAAAUUCACGGGAUGAGUACUUUAGUCACACAUAAGAAUCUCUGGAAAUGUUUUAAAGUGGUUACAAGACUUUGUGAGCAAACAUGUCAUAUACCCCUUCACGGUGUUGAGAUGUCCUGCUGACUUGUCUUUCUUGUUGCAAAAAGUACACCUGGUUCUACUUAUGGUGGGAAGUUCAAUGAAAAAAAUAUCUGGUC